CAGGUGAUUGCAGUUAGCAUC
rnacentral:misc_RNA from 1 species